UUCUUAUUGGAUGAUAACGGUUAUAUGUUAUGUUCUGAUUAAAUGUCAACUCCAUGAAAGAUGAAAUGCAUUGUUGUUUUUAUUGACCAAUCAGAACAUGACACGUGGUAGUCAUCAUCC
rfam:Glycine max cultivar Williams 82 chromosome 10, whole genome shotgun sequence.